rnacentral:rRNA from 1 species
AUUGAACGCUGGCGGAAUGCUUUACACAUGCAAGUCGAGCGGCAGCGCGGCCUUCGGGCUGGCGGCGAGCGGCGAACGGGUGAGUAAUGCAUCGGAACAUGCCCAGUCGUGGGGGAUAACACUUCGAAAGAAGUGCUAAUACCGCAUACGUCCUGAGGGGGAAAGCGGGGGAUCGCAAGACCUCGCGCGAUUGGAGUGGCCGAUGUCAGAUUAGCUAGUUGGUGGGGUAAAGGCCUACCAAGGCGACGAUCUGUAGCUGGUCUGAGAGGAUGAUCAGCCACACUGGGACUGAGACACGGCCCAGACUCCUACGGGAGGCAGCAGUGGGGAAUUUUGGACAAUGGGGGCAACCCUGACCCAGCCAUUCCGCGUGAGUGAAGAAGGCCUUCGGGUUGUAAAGCUCUUUCGGCAGGAACGAAACGGUGGGCUCUAACAUAGUCCGCUAAUGACGGUACCUGAAGAAGAAGCACCGGCUAACUACGUG